rnacentral:rRNA from 1 species
GGGGGGGGGGGGGGGGGGGGCGGACGCGUGGGAGUCGGGCGGCAGGGCGGGAGGGGCUUGCGCGGGCGGGGGGGGAGUGGCGGACGGGUGGGGUGGGCGUCGGAAUCUACGUUUGCGGGGGGGCGGAGGUAGGGGCACUUACGGUCGUAGCGCAUACGACCUCCGGGUGGACGGAGGUGAUCGUCGGAGCUGACGCUGGUGCAUCAGGCUCUGUCGGAGUAGCUAGUUGGCGGGGUAAAGGCCCAACAAGGCGACGAUCCGUAGCUGGUCUGCGAGGAUGAUCAGCCACACUGGAACGGAGACCCGGUACAGACUCCUACGGGAGGCAGCAGGGGGGAAUAUUGGACAAUGGGCGCAAGCCUGAUCCAGCCAUACCGCGUGGGUGAAGAAGGCCUUCGGGUUGUAAAGCCCUUUUGUUGGGAAAGAAAAGCAGCAGGUUAAUACCCCGCUGUUCUGACGGUACCCAAAGAAUAAGCACCGGCUAACUUCGUG